GUUGUGUUCCUUCGUACUUGACCUUGGCUUUGUUUCUGACUACAUUAUCUCUUUAUCCUUAUCUGUUCUGUUUGCCGGCUUGCUGUUUACUGUGUACCAGACCCCGGCUAGUCCAAGUUUACGCUGUCUCUUUGUGCCCUUGACCUCGGAUCGCUCCUGACUCUGUAUCUCUCUGCUUUACGUCGAGUCCGGCCACUCUAAGGUCCGGUAGAUGUACCUUCC